rnacentral:tRNA from 1 species
UCCCUGGUGGCUCAGAUGGUAAAGAAUCUGCCUGCAAUGCAGGAGACCCGGGUUUGAUCCCUGGCUCAGGAA